GCCGAAGUGGCGGAAUUGGCAGACGCAGCGGAUUCAAAAUCCGCCGCCUUUACGGGUGUCCCGGUUCNAGUCCGGGCUUCGGCACCA
rnacentral:tRNA from 1 species